GGGGAUGACGUCAAGUCAUCAUGGCCCUUACGACCAGGGCUACACACGUGCUACAAUGGCGCAUACAAAGAGAAGCGACCUCGCGAGAGCAAGCGGACCUCAUAAAGUGCGUCGUAGUCCGGAUUGGAGUCUGCAACUCGACUCCAUGAAGUCGGAAUCGCUAGUAAUCGUGGAUCAGAAUGCCACGGUGAAUACGUUCCCGGGCCUUGUACACACCGCCCGUCACACCAUGGGAGUGGGUUGCAAAAGAAGUAGGUAGCUUAACCUUCGGGAGGGCGCUUACCACUUUGUGAUUCAUGACUGGGGUGAAGUCGUAACAAGGUAACCGUAGGGGAACCUGCGGUUGGAUCACCUCCUUACCUUAAAGAAGC
rnacentral:rRNA from 2 species